GACGAACGCUGGCGGCGUGCCUAAUACAUGCAAGUAGAACGCAGUUGAGAACGGGUGAGUAACGCGUAGGUAACUGCCUCAUAGCGCGGGAUAACGAUUGGAAACGAUAGCUAAUACCGCAUACUGUGUGAUGGAUCUCCGUUGUAUUAGCCAGUUGGUGAGGUAAAGGCUCACCAAGGCGACGAUACAUAGCCGACCUGAGAGGGUGUUCGGCCACACUGGGACUGAGACACGGUCCAGACUCCUACGGGAGGCAGCAGUGGGGAAUAUUGCGCAAUGGGCGCAAGCCUGAUGCAGCCAUGCCGCGUGUAUGAAGAAGGCCUUCGGGUUGUAAAGUACUUUCAGCGAGGAGCGUUACUCGCAGAAGAAGCACCGGCUAACUCCGUGCCAGCAGCCGCGGUAAUUC
rnacentral:rRNA from 1 species